GGAAACCCAGCAAAGAUGGUACUGAUAUGCGAUUCACGGCAGUAAACGGACUGUCACUUAUAUAACUUUCAAACUCUAAACAAAUUUUAUUUUAUUGUGGUUGACACAACAGAAUCAGCUGAAAUGGACCAAACAAUAGAACAGACUUUUGAAGUUACAGUUAAACAAGAACCCGUCGAAAAUAAUUAUUCGAGUGCAAUAUCUGAAGACGUUUGCCUGCUGAACCAAUUUUGUCGGCUUUGUUUACAGAACAGUUCAGUAUCAUUCAAUCUAGAACUAACAAUUCGUCAAAUGUUUCAGUCGGUAACCGGCCUGGAAUUAGUCGUAGAGGAUAAACUGCCUACGAAAGUAUGUCAAUCUUGUAAGAAUUCACUGGAA